GCAGUCGAGCGGAACGAGUUAUCUGAACCUUCGGGGAACGAUAACGGCGUCGAGCGGCGGACGGGUGAGUAAUGCCUAGGAAAUUGCCCUGAUGUGGGGGAUAACCAUUGGAAACGAUGGCUAAUACCGCAUAAUACCUACGGGUCAAAGAGGGGGACCUUCGGGCCUCUCGCGUCAGGAUAUGCCUAGGUGGGAUUAGCUAGUUGGUGAGGUAAUGGCUCACCAAGGCGACGAUCCCUAGCUGGUCUGAGAGGAUGAUCAGCCACACUGGAACUGAGACACGGUCCAGACUCCUACGGGAGGCAGCAGUGGGGAAUAUUGCACAAUGGGCGCAAGCCUGAUGCAGCCAUGCCGCGUGUGUGAAGAAGGCCUUCGGGUUGUAAAGCACUUUCAGUCGUGAGGAAGGUAGUGUAGUUAAUAGCUGCAUUAUUUGACGUUAGCGACAGAAGAAGCACCGGCUAACUCCGUGCCAGCAGCCGCGGUAAUACGGAGGGUGCGAGCGUUAAUCGGAAUUACUGGGCGUAAAGCGCAUGCAGGUGGUUUGUUAAGUCAGAUGUGAAAGCCCGGGGCUCAACCUCGGAAUAGCAUUUGAAACUGGCAGACUAGAGUACUGUAGAGGGGGGUAGAAUUUCAGGUGUAGCGGUGAAAUGCGUAGAGAUCUGAAGGAAUACCGGUGGCGAAGGCGGCCCCCUGGACAGAUACUGACACUCAGAUGCGAAAGCGUGGGGAGCAAACAGGGUUAGAUACCCUGG
rnacentral:rRNA from 1 species